rnacentral:rRNA from 1 species
UACGGAGGGGGCGAGCGUUAUUCGGAAUUAUUGGGCGUAAAGGGCGCGUAGGCGGCUGAACAAGUCAAAGGUGAAAUCCCUCGGCUCAACUGAGGAACUGCCUUUGAAACUGUUCGGCUUGAGGCCGGGAGGGGGUAGCGGAAUUCCCAGUGUAGCGGUGAAAUGCGUAGAUAUUGGGAGGAACACCAGUGGCGAAGGCGGCUGCCUGGCCUGUAACUGACGCUGAGACGCGAAAGCGUGGGGAGCGAACCGG